UCCCAGUAGCAGCAGUAGCGGUGGUGGCAGCAGGGACAACACACAGCCUUAGUUGGUUCAAAGCCUCUGCCUGGGAGACCCCUUCUUGCAGUUCCCUGAUUUCUGCAGAGCCAAGGUCCUUACCAGGGCCUUCUCUGAGCCCUGGGGUGGGUGAGACAGAGCCCUAAUCUUCAGUCAGGCAGUGAGCACCUCCAGGUUACGUGAUAUGAAGGACCAGCACUGAUUGAAAUCCUGUGGCUUUGUCAUCCAGGUGAUUUUUUUCUUUUUCAGGGCACGCCUGUGGCAUAUGGAAGUUCCCAGGCUAGGGACUGGAUUGGAGCUGCAUCUGAGAUCUAGGCCGUAGCUUGCAGCAAUGCCAGAUGCCUAACCCACUGAGGAUUGAACUCACAUCCUCAUAGACAACAUGCCGGCUUCUUAACCCACUGAGCCACAGUGGGAACUCCCCAUCUGUGUGAUCUUGUGCAAGUGAGGUCACAUCUCCAGACCUCUGCUGCCUCACCUGUAAAAUGAAUCCUGUCCUCAUCAGCAGCAUGGCUUGGGUGAGUAAUCUUUUCCUUUGGGGCCUCAGUUUUCCCAUCUGUGAAGUGGGAUAUCAUUGCCCAUGUAGGUUGAUUCUAAGGAUUAGGGAUAACGUUUGCAAAGUGCCUGGGGCAGUGCCUGGCAGAUAUUCUGUGGUGGGUGGAUGGUAUUAAUACUGAAGAUUCUGUCUCCUUGACCCCAUUAAGCCCUGAAAGUCUCUGCAAAUUCAUCCAAACUGAGCAUCAAAAAUAAGACCCCCCCCCCAGAAACUCCUCUUUCUUCUGUUCCAGGGUCUCUCUGAAUCUGUAAACCCUCUUUCUGGAUGUUCUACGGGAAACCAGGCUGCCUUCUGGCCCUGGUACGGGGGCCACAGCCUCAGGCUCCCCUCUGAAACCUCUUUGGUCUCCUCCGUCCCCAUCUCCAACCCAUCUUUUCUUUCCACACUCCAAAGGCACCCUCUUCCCCUUUCCAACAGGAAUGGGUGAAGGUGCCUCCUCUCCAUCCAUCCCCGGGGCAUCCUGGGACAGGCUGUCUACUUCUCCACCUUCUAUCUGUAACACCUUCCAACACAAAAUGGCAAAUCUGGGGGACCCUUGUGUCAGCUCUGAAAUGCAAAGAGCUUGGAAAUUGUCGUUCCCAUCCUUGCAACAAGAAAAAGGCUGGACAAACUGGCAUAUCCAGGAGACAGAAAAUCAGUCAUUACAGAGUUGAGCUAAAGGGCACCAUCAGUUGUCUGGAUCUAAUUGACAUUUUUAGACUAACUGCUUCACCCAACACAAGCAGAACACACAUCUACACAAGCUCGCACAGAACAUUCACAGAGUGUGUCACCUCGAAAUUCACGUGUUGAUGUCGUAACGCCCACUAUGACUGUAUUUGGUGAUGGAGCCUCUAAGGUAGUAAAGGAUAAUUGAGGUCAUAACAGUGGCGCCCUGAUCCAAUCAAUACAAGUAGUGUCUUUAUAAGAGAGGUCAAGUGAGCACAAAGCCGGAAGGGAGCCACCUGCAGGCCGAGGGGAAAGCCCGCAUCACUUAUCCUGGCAACUCCUCUGACUUGGACUUCUGGUCUCCAGAACUGGGAGAAAAUACAUUUCUGUUGUUUAUGAAGUCAUGCCUCAUAGAGUUAACAAAAGCUGGAAUUCCCAUCGUGGCGUGGCGAAGUGGAAACCAAUCUGACUAGGAACCAUGAGGUUGAGGGUUCCAUCCCUGGCCUCCAUCAGUGGGUUAAGGAUGGGGCGUUGCCAUGAGCUGCGGUGUAGGUCGCAGACACAGCUCCGACCCCGCGUUGCUGUGGCUCUGGUGUAGGCCGGCA
rnacentral:lncRNA from 9 species